rnacentral:rRNA from 1 species
ACAGACGAAAGCCUGACGGAGCAACGCCGCGUGAGUGAUGAAGGUUUUCGGAUCGUAAAGCUCUGUUGCCAGGGAAGAACGUCCGGUAGAGUAACUGCUACCGGAGUGACGGUACCUGAGAAGAAAGCCCCGGCUAACUACGUGCCAGCAGCCGCGGUAAUACGUAGGGGGCAAGCGUUGUCCGGAAUUAUUGGGCGUAAAGCGCGCGCAGGCGGCUAUUUAAGUCUGGUGUUUAAACCUUGGGCUCAACCUGAGGUCGCACUGGAAACUGGGUGGCUUGAGUACAGAAGAGGAAAGUGGAAUUCCACGUGUAGCGGUGAAAUGCGUAGAUAUGUGGAGGAACACCAGUGGCGAAGGCGACUUUCUGGGCUGUAACUGACGCUGAGGCGCGAAAGCGUGGGGAGCAAACAGGAUUAGAUACCCUGGUAGUCCACGCCGUAAACGAUGAGUGCUGGGUGUUAGGGGUUUCGAUACCCUUGGUGCCGAAGUUAACACAGUAAGCACUCCGCCUGGGGAGUACG